CGAGCCUCCGAGGGUGAGGGGAGAGUUGGGAGCUAGAAGGGGCGGAGCGGACGGUGGGCGCGGCAGCUACGAGACGCCGACUGGAACGGACGCCCCUCCUCUCCGUCCUUCCUCUCCCGAGAGCAGAGUUCGGAGAGAUGGCUUCCUACCGACAGACCCCCGAGGCCGAAGGAGGGUGCGAGGUCUCUGUAACCUACGGAGAGGAGCCGGGCGGCGGGCAGCGAGGGCGCUGGUUCGCCAGAGAAAAGGGGAUCUUCACAAGGUUUGGCUUCUGGCGCCUCUUACCUCUCAUUUUUCUAGAAACGAUUGUGAAGAAGCCAAGAUGCUGACCAGAAAUUAUAUUUAUCUCUUCUUGUCCAUUUCAUUUGGUGGAUAAACGUUUAUUUUACUUUAAGAAAUAAAAACUUUCUGUUGUGAGAAA